GAUGAACGCUGGCGGCGUGCCUAAUACAUGCAAGUCGAGCGAACAGACGAGGAGCUUGCUCCUCUGACGUUAGCGGCGGACGGGUGAGUAACACGUGGAUAACCUACCUAUAAGACUGGGAUAACUUCGGGAAACCGGAGCUAAUACCGGAUAAUAUAUUGAACCGCAUGGUUCAAUAGUGAAAGACGGUUUUGCUGUCACUUAUAGAUGGAUCCUCGCCGCAUUAGCUAGUUGGUAAGGUAACGGCUUACCAAGGCAACGAUGCGUAGCCGACCUGAGAGGGUGAUCGGCCACACUGGAACUGAGACACGGUCCAGACUCCUACGGGAGGCAGCAGUAGGGAAUAUUCCGCAAUGGGCGAAAGCAUGACGGAGCAACGCCGCGUGAGUGAUGAAGGUCUUCGGAUCGUAAAACUCUGUUAUUAGGGAAGAAAAAAUGUGUAAGUAACUAUGCACGUCUUGACGGUACCUAAUCAGAAAGCCACGGCUAACUACGUG
rnacentral:rRNA from 1 species